GAAAAGAAAAAAGAAAGAAAAGAACUGGGUCACAGCAUUUGGAAGGCUGAGAACCACUGCCACAGAGCCUUCAGAGUGAACAGCUCUGUUAAUACCUCAAGUCCACUGAAAGUUAUUUUUGACUUGUAGUCUACAAAAGUGGUUUGAAUGAAAAACGUUGUCCACAGGUUCACGUAUUUGGUAGUGCUGUUAAGGAAUCUUUAGGAGGUUCAGCCUUGCUGGAGGGAGUAUAUCACUGAGGGCAGGUUUAGGGGGUUUACAGCCUUCUUCCACUUUGUACUUCCACAUUUUCUGCUUCCUGUAUGUGUUUGAUAUGUGAUCUCUCAGCCUGUGCUCUUGCUGUCUGCUGUCAUGUCUUCUCACUAUUAUGGACACCCCCACUGGGACUAUAACCCUAAGUAAACUCUUCUCUAAGUUGCUUUUGGUCUAAUAUUUUAUCACAGCAGCAGAAAAAUAACUAACAAGCAGUAUACAAGAAUACAUCUGUGCUCUUUUAAACCACCAAAAUUGUGCUCAAUUGUUACCAUAGCAAUAGGAAAUAGAUGCAGUUGUUGAUAUUGUAAGAACAGUUUUGUAGGAAGGAAGAGGUAGAAUGGAAGGAAUUAUAGUAGAAUGAGGCAGAGCUUCUGAAGGUAUCCAUCUCUCAGAAGUUUUCACAGAAAACCCUAUUUGAGCAGAAAACCUCAUUUGAGCCUCUAAGGAAAAGUAUUCAGAAAAGAUCUGAAAGGCUAAUUACUUCUGCAGUCCUAUACAGUACCAAGACAGGCAGCCUUCUUCUCAACCUUCCUUAGGAAAGGUUAGUGCCCAAUGGAGUUCAAGAGUUCCCACGGUGGCCCUAGCUCUGGAUAGUAAACUAUGAUAACCCUUCUUGGUCCACACAUACAUGACUCUUGUUCACCAUGGAGACCAGGAUGCAUUAUAAUAUGACCCUAAAUCCUAUACCUGCCACAGAUCUUCUCAGCCUAUGAAAACAGAAAUACAUGUUGACCUUGGAGGCAGAGCCAGCAAAGGCUGGCCUUUGGGCACUGAUACUUUGCAUUUUACAACCCCUCUGGUUCAAAGAAAAUAACUACCAAAGAUAAGCUUCUUAAUUGGAAAACCUGAAAAGUAAACCUUCAGGAAAAAAGAGAAAUAUUAGAGUCAUACAAAAGAUGGAGAAUAGUAACACCCAAACACAAUGUCAGUCAAUGGAAUAGAAACACAUCCAGCCAGGAUCCCAUAGGAGAGUCAAGAGCAUAUUGAAAUGUUUUACAUGAGGUAUUAAUGAUAGAAAACAUUCUGUCCCUAGAAUCAGGGGUGGCUGGUAUCAACAGAGACUCUUAAGAGAUUCUGUAACAGCAGAAGGAGAUGGAGAUGAUAUAAGCUAAAGGCAAGCUGAGUCUGUGACCAAAGUAAGCUACUCAAUGCAUCAACAUGUUAUAACUCCCCUCCAGAAGAACCCUGACAGCCAUGCAAGGUUAUACAGAAGAUCCCAGCCAUCCCAAGUCCCCACAACAAGGGCAACCCAUACUCUGGACACUGAGGCAAGAAAAACAAAAUUUAGUUUUAAAACGUCCUCAUAACAUGAAUAAAGAGGCCAGUGAAGUGGCUUGUGAAUAAAGGUACUUGCUAUCAAGCCUAAUAUACUGAAUUCAGUAUCUGGGACUCACAUAGUGAGAGAGAAGCAAUUCCUACAAGUUAUCUUUUGACUCCAUAGGCAUGAAACAUAUGUGCAUACACAGAGAGAAAUAAAUAAAUGAAAAAUGAGUCACAGGUGUUCAAAUACAUAAUGGCACUAAGCUAUCAGUUGGAAAGCUCCCUUACACAGAGGAGCUUAUUCCUUGGCUUGGUAAGUUAAGCAUUGCUCAGUGUUCUUUGUUAUGAAUUUAAUGCCGAGAGAAGAAAAUGGAUACUGACAGAGAUUGGAAGUGGGGGUGGGGUUGAAAAAGAACUGCCAGAGGAGCUGAGGUUUAGAACUUAACAAUAACUCAUCCAAUAUUACUUUGUAAGUGUAUUCUCAAAAUUGAAUUUAAAAAAAAAUAAGAAGGAAAGGUCAUGACUGCUUCUAGGUAUGGUGGAGGAGAAAGUUUAUUGUAGAUAAAAGGAGGGACAUCGAUAGAGGCAGGGACAGGGACAUCUGGAAGAAUUCUGAGUGGACAUGACCAGACUGAGCUCGGCUAUGUGGGGAAUGGGGGAGUGGAGGGAGAGAGGGGAACCAGGUGCAGCAGUCAGGAGGCCAAAGGGACAAAAAGGGGUGAGUAACAAAAAUGUCUGGAUUAUAUAAGGAAGAGCCUUUGGGAGAAGGGCAGCCCACCCCUGGGCUGGAGAGUUCAGGGUAGAGGGCAGGAUAUGCCAGCCAUACCCUGUAACAGGUAGGGACUGAGGGAUGCUGGGAGAACCUGGAGGCCAGAUCUGUUUUGAUAUUUGUCCUCAGACAUUUGUCCAGGGGGUUGAAAUUUAACAAAAAUAAAGCUAGUCUCAUUCCAAUGGAUGGAGAAAUUAAGACAUUCAGAAACUACAGAUUGGAGGAUUUAUUUCCAUUGUGACUACUGGCUUGUAGUAUCAGUCUUUUGUUCUGCAUGACAUCUCAUGUCUUGCAAACUAGCAAGAUCCCUGAAUUUGGCAAGGAUCCUGCUCUGUGAAGCAUUUUCAAGUUAGGGGUUUUAGCAAUGUCAGAUUUCUCAAAGCCUGUAAUAGAGAAUAGGUGGAAAGGUGGAGAGGGCAAUGGAGCUACAGAGUUCUCACCUACAGCACAAUAACCUCUCAGCUGGAAAAUGCGGGCCACCACCUAUCCAGCAAAGUCAGGGACUUCGAAUUAGACAGUCUUAAAUCUCACCUUAUUAAUAGGUAAAAGUUCAGAUAUUCCCCCCCUUUACCCUAUUCAUGCACAGUGGUAUUUUCUGUUUAUACAUGGAGAGUAUAUUGUAUAGUUCUUGAUUGAUUUUGUUAUGUACAGAGUGAGGCCAAAUGAUGCUUUCAAUGGUAAUAGAGGACACUAUUGCCAUUUUAACUAAAUUGUCCGGUUGAGGGAAGAAGAGUAAAGUUGAUAAUUUUGAAUACUUAAGAAAAUACAUCACUUUGCCACUGGUGCAGAACCUGUAAUUAUGUGCAAUUCCCUGCUUAAGAAUCUUUAGUUAUGCUGAACAUUGAAAAAAACUAAAUGGGGAGGAGAAAAGAAGGGAGUUUUAAGCACUCAACACAAGAUGUUCAUUUAAAUAGAGACAUUGCCUUACCAGAAGGGAGCAGUUAAGGGUUUGGUUGUCCCACUGGCAUGCUAUUAUCAAAUCUUCAUCUUUAAACCAUGGAUUUGCAAUCCUUCUAAAUCUUCAUUAUUAUUUUGAAAUCAAGACUGGUUCCUUCUGUUCAAAAAGCAUGAUCAUUUUUCACUGAUAUCUUUUUAAUGCUCUGACUUUUUUGCUCUCUGGAAAAGAUAAAUCUUCAAACCUUGGACCUAGACCUUUUUUUCUCACCAAACCCAUAACAUGAUCAUUUCCUAUCCCUCACAUGGCACUAGCAGAUAAGAGAACAUGCCUUGCCCAGUUAGAAGCAUACUGUGAUUUUCAUCAGGACUAGGAAUGUAGUUGUAGACCUCAGUUAAGACAUGAUCAGCAUAGGUCAUUACAGACUUUCUUUGAUUCUGUUUGGAAGUCCUCUGAAAACCCAGACUGACAAAGGGGAUGCUUUUUAGUGGCCAAGUCAGGUGUCCCAUAGAAAAGAGACAUCCUCCAAAUGAGAGAAACAGAAACCAGAGACAGGAUGAUUAUAGAGGCAGUAGUUACUCUCUCCAUCUGUGUCCAAAUACCUGAAGAAAGCAAUUCAAGGAGGAAAGAUUUAAUUAAUGGUGAGGACAACAUGGCUGAGGAGCUCCAUCCUCAGCAGGCCUCCUAUAUAUAUUUCAGUAGAUCAGGAAGAACAGGACAAGUGAGGCUAGUCUAACACAUAAGACCUAGCUAGGCCCCAUCUCCCCUAAAAUCUUCACAACCUCCUAAAAUAGCACUAGCAUCUGGGGACCGAGUAUUCGAACAAUUACAUCUAUAAGGGCCAUUUCACAUUUAAACCAUAGCACAGGGUCUUGGCCUUUUCUGGUUUCUAGGGACUUUGUCCAUACUUUAUAGUAGAAAUGAAUUUACAUUUAAAAAGGUGCUGUCUUCUUGUAUGGUGGUAUAAAUCUUUAAUCCCAGCACUCAGGAGGCAGAGGCAGGGAGAUCUCUGAGUUCCAGACCAGCCAGGGCUACACAGUAAAAUCCUGUCUCAAGUAAGUAAGUAACUAACUGGGGAAGAAGAGACAAAUCCAAAGAUGAGUGUGGUAGUCAGCUUUCUGCUACGGUAAUAGCACAUCUGAAAUAACACACUUAAAAGAGGAAAGGCUAAUGUUGGUUCAUAAUUUUGGAGGUUUUAAUAAAUCGCUAGUUGUCUCUGCUGUAUUUGGGCCCACAGCAAGGUAUUACUAUACAGAAAUAGGGUAUGCAUAGCAAAGUUCUUACCUCAUAGUGGCCAGGAAACAAAAACACAGGAGUCUAAGUUCAUAAUGGACUCCCAAGGACAAUUCUCCCAAUGAGUUAACUCCCUCCCACUAGGCCCUACCCCAUAAAAUGUUCCAUCAAUUCCCAAUAUACCAUGAGCUAGGAAACAAACCUUUAACAUAUGAGCGAAUCACAGAACUAUUCAGAAUCAAUGGAAAACAAAGCUUGAGGUUCUCCCUGAUGAAACUGCCUGGGACUAGGUGAUGACAGAGUCUGAGGGUCUCAAAGAGCUGAGAAAUUAAAGAAGAGGGGGCAAGCCACUGGCUGAUGCAACAGUUAGAGAAAGAAUGUGCCCUUGUUACCAAGGACAUUUGUGCAAAAAUCACACAAAAGUGGCCUCUUGCCAAAACUAGUUACAUAGCAAAUUACAUGACAGUCAAGCUAAUUGUUUACUCAUGGUUUCCCACAUAGCCAGUGGCAACCAUUUUAACUAUCUCAUUCCAGAUAUCUAUACCAUCGCCAUGUUAUUUAAACCUUUAUCUGACCCUUUUGGUCUUUUCCCUCUUUGUUUCCACAGCAGUAUUUGGUUGGAAGAAUGCCAUUGCUUAUGUGAGACUCCCUGUUUUGAAGCUGUGAUGCCAGCCCUCAAAGGGCACUCCUGAUUGACAGAUCACUUCCUGAUCCAGCAGAAUGCAAGUUCCUAUACGACAGAGGCCACACAUAAGGUACCCAUAUUUGUGCACCACUACUACACAGACUUUGGUGCCUUUCCAAGAGUAAGUAGUACUGAAUAGGCAUCUGAUUGAAUGAACAAUUUCUCACCCUGCCCUUAUUGUGCUCUUGGACAAAACCCCUUGCCUCUUUCAGUCUCAGAUGCCUCUGCUAUGAACAGAGGAUAACAGCACAGGCAUACUCCCCAGGUGUGCAGGAAGAAUAAACCAAUGACUGAAAAGCAAUUUAAAAUUGUAAAAUGAGAUGCUAUAUAAAUGUUACAUAAUCAAAAUCCUUUCCUUCUGUAUUAUGUUUUAUUUGGCUUUAUAUCUUCAAAUCCUUUGUGGGUUUCAGGAUUUCACAGAUGCAAUACCAUUCACAUUUUAGUACCUAGAUUCUCCGAGGUAAUAAACAAUUUUGUGUAUUAUA